rnacentral:rRNA from 1 species
GUAGGUGGCAAGCGUUGUCCGGAAUUAUUGGGCGCAAAGCGCGCGCAGGGCGGUCCUUUAAGUCUGAUGUGAAAGCCCACGGCUCAACCGUGGAGGGUCAUUGGAAACUGGGGGACUUGAGUACAGAAGAGGAAAGCGGAAUUCCAAGUGUAGCGGUGAAAUGCGUAGAGAUUUGGAGGAACACCAGUGGCGAAGGCGGCUUUCUGGUCUGUAACUGACGCUGAGGCGCGAAAGCGUGGGGAGCAAACAGGAUUAGAUACCCUGGUAGUCCACGCCGUAAACGAUGAGUGCUAAGUGUUAGGGGGUUUCCGCCCCUUAGUGCUGCAGCUAACGCAUUAAGCACUCCGCCUGGGGAGUACGGCCGCAAGGCUG